UACUUGCCAUGGUACCGAUCCCAAGUCAGU
rnacentral:piRNA from 1 species